GAGAACUCAUUUAGCCAGUCCUUCAAAGACUCAAAAGACAUUCUAUUUGUCACAUCAUAAACCAGCAUGCAGGCCUAAAGAAAAAAAGAGCUCAAUUAAACCAUGUAGCCAGGAUUUGUGGCAAACAAGUACAAUCACAUAGUAAAUGAAUGGAUGUUGCAAAGAUCACCAAACUAUAGCAGGAAGUGAUAAUGUACUUACAUUCUACUCCAUGGAUUUUGUGCAGCUUGAAUCCUAUUAGAAAACAACAGUAAAAUUUAAAAAAAAUUAAGAAAUGUUAAAACUAAAAUCAUUAAAAAAUACUGUAUGCUUAUAGGAUAAGUUUUUUCACCAUACCAUAGUCAACUCCAACUGUCUGGUGAUAGCUUUUUGAGAACUAGAAGGAAAAAAAAUAAUGUAGAAUUUCAAGGGUAGCGAUGGGUACUUUGAAAUUUCAAAAAGUCUCACAAAAAUUCUGCAAAGUCUCAGGAUUCCCGCAUUUUUUAGCUAAGCCUCGAAGUCUCGUUUUAUUUAAAAAAUUUAGGACUCUCUCCUUUAUUUUUCUACCAAAAUCUCCGAGUCGCAGAUUUGUAAAGGUGACCUCUGAGAUUUUGUGAAACAUGAUCUGUUUUAUGUUGUUACCACGCUACCGGUUUCCCCUUCUUUUUUGAGUCUCGAGUCUUGAGUCUUUUCGCUCUAUACAGAAACUUUAGCUAAAUCAAGAUUGUAUUGUAAUUCUACUAAUUCUCUUUUCAACUGAAGUUUAUGACAUGCCUCGAGCAAGUUAUCUGAAAAGCUCAGGUUUGGAUUCCGAAAUCUGAAAAGCUCAGUUUUGGAUUCUGACGCACCUCGUCAAGUCUCGGAUUUCCCCAUCGUAAUCGUAAUCGUAAUUAUUCACUAAACUCUUGAUUGUCACAGAUUAGUUGAUCAUGUAUAAUGCCCAUCCUGUUUUUGAAGGUUAUUUUUUCUUGAAAUAAAAUGUUUAUUAUACAUGA